rnacentral:lncRNA from 1 species
AUUUAAAACAGUGAGGUUUAUUUCACAUGUAUAUUUUUGUCUCCCCACCAUUUCCAUGUCUGACCACCACUACUACUAUGGCCUAUCAUAACAUUCCAUACCAAGCAAAGGGUGGAGUUGCAUCUUUAAAAACUAAACAGGUAUUUUGGACAACACAUUCUUGGCAAUGGAACCUGGACAACAUUUAUCAAACACAGUAGGGAAAGUUCUCACUCUGCAUUAUAAAAAGGACAGCCAG